rnacentral:rRNA from 1 species
UACGUAGGUGGCAAGCGUUGUCCGGAAUUACUGGGUGUAAAGGGCGUGUAGGCGGAUAUUUAAGUCAGAUGUGAAAUUCUGAGGCUUAACCUCAGAGCUGCAACUGAAACUGGGUAUCUAGAGUACUGGAGAGGGAAGCGGAAUUCCUAGUGUAGCGGUGAAAUGCGUAGAUAUUAGGAGGAACACCAGUGGCGAAGGCGGCUUUCUGGACAGAAACUGACGCUGAGGCGCGAAAGCGUGGGGAG